UACGAAGGGGGCUAGCGUUGUUCGGAAUUACUGGGCGUAAAGGGCGCGCAGGCGGCCCUCCAAGUCAGGCGUGAAAGCCCCGGGCUCAACCCGGGAAUAGCGCUUGAGACUGGGGGGCUUGAGUUCGGGAGAGGAGAGUGGAAUUCCCAGUGUAGAGGUGAAAUGCGUAGAGAUGUGGAGGAACACCAGUGGCGAAGGCGACUUUCUGGCCUAUAACUGACGCUGAGGCGCGAAAGCGUGGGGAGCAAACAGG
rnacentral:rRNA from 1 species